rnacentral:rRNA from 1 species
AGAGUUUGAUCAUGGCUCAGGAUGAACGCUAGCUACAGGCUUAACACAUGCAAGUCGAGGGGCAGCAUCAUCAAAGCUUGCUUUGAUGGAUGGCGACCGGCGCACGGGUGAGUAACACGUAUCCAACCUGCCGACAACACUGGGAUAGCCUUUCGAAAGAAAGAUUAAUACCGGAUGGUAUAGUUUUCCCGCAUGGGAUGAUUAUUAAAGAAUUUCGGUUGUCGAUGGGGAUGCGUUCCAUUAGGCAGUUGGCGGGGUAACGGCCCACCAAACCUACGAUGGAUAGGGGUUCUGAGAGGAAGGUCCCCCACAUUGGAACUGAGACACGGUCCAAACUCCUACGGGAGGCAGCAGUGAGGAAUAUUGGUCAAUGGACGAGAGUCUGAACCAGCCAAGUAGCGUGAAGGAUGACUGCCCUAUGGGUUGUAAACUUCUUUUAUACGGGAAUAGAGUGAGCCACGUGUGGCUUUUUGUAUGUACCGUAUGAAUAAGGAUCGGCUAACUCCGUGCCAGCAGCCGCGGUAAUACGGAGGAUCCGAGCGUUAUCCGGAUUUAUUGGGUUUAAAGGGAGCGUAGGCGGGUUGUUAAGUCAGUUGUGAAAGUUUGCGGCUCAACCGUAAAAUUGCAGUUGAUACUGGCGACCUUGAGUGCAACAGAGGUAGGCGGAAUUCGUGGUGUA